CUCUGUCAACGGAAUUCUCCAGGCAAAGAUACUGGAGUGGGUUGCCAUUCCCUUCCCAACCCAAGGAUCCAAACUUCUGUAUUGCAGGUGGGCUCUUUCCCACUAGCACCACCUAGGAAGCCCCCUAUAUAACAGACGAGGAAAAUUCUAGACACACAGAGAAGGCAACGUGAAGAUGGACACAGAGGUUAGAGUGACUGUGGCUUCAAGCCUAAGAAUGCCAGCAGACAACAGAAACUGGAAAAGGCAAGAAACAGAUUCUCCCCGCAAGCCGCUUGAGGGAGCUCAGCCUACUGACACCUCAAUUUCAGACUUUUCGUUUCUAGAACUGUGAGAGGAUGAAUGCAUUUUAAGCUACCAUGCUUGUGGUAAUUUGUCACAGCUGCCACUGGAAACUAACAUACUAGUUAUUCAAUAUUUUUUGUCCAUUCAUGUAUGGUAAAACAUAAAAAAAUUUAAUUUCCUAAUUGUUUAGCAGUGGUAUAUAAAAUUAACCUUUAUAUACUGACUGUAUAAACUUGCUAAAUUCAUUAAUACUAACAGUUUAUAAAUUUUAUAUAGACUAUCGUGCUUUUCUCCAAACAACAGGUUUAUGUAUUUCUUUCUAAUCCUUAUAUUACCUUGCUUUUUUACAGUCACUGGGAUACCAGUACAAC
ensembl:lncRNA